GUUUCAUCCUGUGGUCUGGGGACAACCUGCACUGCAUCAUGUGAAUGCAGCCCCUCCCCUGACCUGACAAAUCGGCACUCAGAAUGAUGAGCAGUCUCCUUCAGAUGAUCCUCAUGCCUGCUGAAAUUGAGAAUCUCUGGAUAAAGAUGAUAUCAAAACCACAGGGGAGUAGAUGAGGGACUCCAGGGAGAUUACAUAGGACAUAAUGAGAACCCUGGAACCCCACCACCAUUUGCCAAGCUGAGGAAAUUGAGAUUCAGGAGUUGACAGAGCUUGCCCCAGGCCUUAGAACGGUGACUCGCCCCGGGCCAUAUGUUUCCCAAAGCACCGUCCACUACACCCCGCUGUCUCUGGAAGAGGAAGAAGCCAGAAUGGAGCUGUGAUGCCGGGGAAGGGGAGGGCCCCUGUGAGGAGGUCAGCUGAGGGGCCCCCAGCUUCUACCCCAACUGCCACUCGCUGAGCACACCUCCGCCUACGUCAGCAGGGGAAUCUGAAGGAACAGAAUCCCAGCCUGAGCCAUGAAUCCCCGGGAGUGAAAUUCCUACACACCAGCAGGGGAAAGAUGUCAUCAUUUGAGGAUACUGAGACAUCCUUGUGGAGAGAUUAACAUGGCAAGUAACUGAGCCUUCCAUCCAAUAGUCCAUGGCACAACGUGAGAGAAUUCGGAAAGAGAUCCUCUAGCCAUUGGAUGACUGCAGACCUAACUAAUGGCUUGACCACAGCCUCAUGAAAGACCUUGAGGUAGAACCACCCGGCAGACCUGCUCAUGGUUUCUAAACCUUCAGAAACCAAGUGAGAUGAUCCAGAUGAUUACCUCCAGCCAGAGAAACAGCAGAGAGACUUGUACACCAGGCAGGAGCAAGGCACCUACAGGAAAGAAAAGAACAGGAAAAAUUGCAUAGUAAGCAAUGACUUACCUGGACCCCUUCCCCUGAACUGCUUCCAGAAUAUCGGCAGCCAGCUGAAAGUCCCUUCAGGUAAAAGAUUGUAGAUAUUUCUCCUGAGAAUCUGAAGAGCUCAAAAUAAAAGAAGAAUCUAUGGAAAGAAGAAACUCCAUCUGAUCUCUGAACAGCAAGCCCACUCCUGCCCACCCUUAUACGUAAAAUUUCUGGUGGGUUUUAGGACUUAAUUCUUAAGUAUGAAUCGGAGAGUCAAAGGUUUGCAGACAUUUGAUAGAAGCCUUCAACACAGCGAAAUUUUAGAAUACUAGAGAACUAAGGAGCAUAAUUAUGACAUUUCAGAAUAUUAGAAAUUAACAGACUAUUCUUCACAUUUCUAGAAAGAAAAAUUCCAGGUCACAAAGAAAUGGAAAUCAGGGUUUCACUGGAAUGCUCAAUAGAAACACCGGAUAUUAGAGGAGAAAGAGCAAUUUUUAUCAAUUUCUGAAUGAAAAAUUUCAACUUAGAAUCCUAUACUUGGUCAAACUUUCUUUCAAAAGUAAGGACUGAAUAAAGCCAUUUGAAGUUUUGCCUUCUGUACCCUUUCUUGGGUUGUUACCAGAACAUGUGCCAUGAAAAAAUGAAGCGGUAAACCAAGAAAGAAGGCACAGGACAAAGAAAUGGAGUUCUUGCUCUGGAGAUGAGAGAAUGUCUCAAGAUGACAACUGAGUCCUGAGACAAAUUCAUCUCCUUUGGAAUAGGAGGACAGUGAACUUCUGGAGGGAUGUUUUCGGUGGGGGGAAAUGGGAUUAUUUGAUCUUUUGGAAAAUAAACGUAAUAGUCAUUUGAUAGAUACGUUGCAGGAAAAAUAUAAAGAUUGGUGCAUUACUAAGUAAACAGAUGAAAGGUUUUGUAAGAAAGAAAACAACCACAGUACACUAGUUGGCUCUGUUGUCACUGGUAUUUGCAGUCACCAGUUACUACCGCUAAAUGGUGAAAGAGCUAUCUAUGCUGGUAGAAUGGUGGAAGGGGAAACUGUAUGAAGUUUGAAAGAUCUAAAUCCUUUUCGAAGGGCGACAGGUGGUCAAAGCACAACAUCUAAAUUGAUAAAUCAAAAGAUAUCAGUAUAAAUUAUAAAGCCUUUGAGCCUCUUCUGCAGAGGAAGUCCUGAGCACCUAUCUGUGACUUCAAGGGAGAGCUCUGGGUGUCAAAUCACUUUAAGAGCAGUACAAGUUUUAUAAGGAGGAGCCUGUGUGGAUGAGCCCAUGGUGUGGCACCUGUCAGUGUAAAGUGGUAACAUCUGCCUUUAUUUCCAGAUGUAAACAAAAUUAAUUAUUUUGGAGGGCUUUCAAUUUCUUUUUCCUGAACGAUUUUUUUUUCUUGGAGUCUUGUUUUUGAGUGAAGAGAAAAAUCUUAACAUAAAUCUUGGAUGGAAUUGCAGCUCUAAAUAGACAGUUCAGAGUGCUAUAGUUUAAUUUCAUGGGAGAAUAAAUCCCUCUCAGUGGCAUAAAAAAAAGUAUAAAUUGUUUAGAAAUGGGGAGGUCGGGGCACCUUGGCUGGCUCAGUCCUAAGAGCAUGCAAUUCUUGAUGUUGGGGUUAUGAGUUCAAGCUCCACCUUGGGUGUAGACAUUACUUAAAAUCUUUAUCCAAAAAAGAAAAGAAAAGAAAAGAAAGAGAGAGAAAGAAAGAAAGAAAGAAAGAAAGAAAGAAAGAAAGAAAGAAAAAAAAAUAAAGAGGUCAAUGACAGAAGACAUGGCUAAAAGUGGAAUGUGGAUGCUUUUAGAAAGGAGAUUAAGAAGGUAGAGAAACGGUGGGUAUUGUAUUUAAAUACGUUAUAUUUAAAAAGUGUGUGUGCUUAUACUGUGUGAGAAUAAAAGUUUUAAUUGAUUUGCUGAGCAUGAAACAUGGAACAAACAAUCAAACAACCUGUCUCAGGGCAUAAUUUUCAGGAAAUAUCUGGUCCAUAAAGAUUAAAAUAGAAGUUGGGUAUCAUUUCUGGCAAUGUAGUAUUAACUUGAAAUAAAAUAUGAUAUACUCUCCAUGCUUUCCUUAGUUCAACGAUUCAUAGGUAUGGACUACAUUCCUGUCAGAACUUUCACCAAUGUUCUUUAGGAACAAGUGGUUAUAAAUUAAACCUUUGGUAAUCUGCGUUGUUCCCAACCAGGAGAAACAGAACCGCAAAAAAGUCAGUUUCAUCCUGAAUUGUUUCCAUAGCAACCAUAUUAAGCUGGAAGGAUAAAGCACCUUUGUAGUCGCUGCUUCUAUUGAAUUACAAUGUAAAUGUUGAUGCCUGCCUGGAAACGUCAAAUGACAACAGGUUUAUAGAAGGGAUUCGGUGGUUGUUUGCAGCUCUGGAAUCCCCGGCUAGAGUUGAGAUAGAAGACACAGGCCUGGGCCAUCUUAGCGUCUAUUCACCCCAAAUCUUCUCACCCCAUCAAAACCACCCCACUCUUCAUCGGCCUAGCCCAUGAAAGGAUGCUCAUCGAUGUGAAAAUCUGUAAUCUACCUGGUAUCUUUUACACAUCGGGACACGAAAAGUGUUUGUUCUGGAUAAGAAUGUUAAAAAUGCAAUUACACAACAGACUGGGCAAUCUUUGUGUUUUUACCCUUCGGAGCACAAGGUAAACUUCUGACAACGUCAAAAAGUGGGUAUGCAAAGCCUUGCGGUCAGGCUGCGCGUUUGACUCCGGCCGGCUCGGGGUACCUGAGUUCAGCUCUCCUUAGGCCUUCCGUUUGACCCACAAUCCCUAGUGGC